rnacentral:rRNA from 1 species
AACGAACGCUGGCGGCAUGCCUAACACAUGCAAGUCGAACGAGACCUUCGGGUCUAGUGGCGCACGGGUGCGUAACGCGUGGGAACCUGCCUUUAGGUUCGGAAUAACUCAGAGAAAUUUGAGCUAAUACCGGAUAAUGUCUUCGGACCAAAGAUUUAUCGCCUUUAGAUGGGCCCGCGUAAGAUUAGCUAGUUGGUGGGGUAAAGGCCUACCAAGGCGACGAUCUUUAGCUGGUCUGAGAGGAUGAUCAGCCACACUGGGACUGAGACACGGCCCAGACUCCUACGGGAGGCAGCAGUGGGGAAUAUUGGACAAUGGGGGAAACCCUGAUCCAGCCAUGCCGCGUGUGUGAAGAAGGCCUCGG